UCUGUGGCCAGACCAUCCUGAACAUGCCUAAUGUCAGAAGGUGACCAGGAUCAGGUCUGGUGAGUGCUUGGCCGGGAGAACCAGGCCCUACAAGAA
rnacentral:rRNA from 1 species